rnacentral:tRNA from 1 species
UGGGGCUAUGGCUCAGUGGUGGAGUGCUUGCCUAGCAUGUGUGAGGCACUGGGUUCGAUUCUCAGCACUAA